UGGGGAAUAUUGCACAAUGGGCGCAAGCCUGAUGCAGCAACGCCGCGUGAGGGACGAAGGCCUUCGGGUUGUAAACCUCUUUUAGCAGGGAAGAAGCGAAAGUGACGGUACCUGCAGAAAAAGCACCGGCUAACUACGUGCCAGCAGCCGCGGUAAUACGUAGGGUGCAAGCGUUGUCCGGAAUUAUUGGGCGUAAAGAGCUCGUAGGCGGUUUGUCGCGUCUGCUGUGAAAACCCGAGGCUCAACCUCGGGCUUGCAGUGGGUACGGGCAGACGUAGAGUGCGGUAGGGGAGAUUGGAAUUCCUGGUGUAGCGGUGGAAUGCGCAGAUAUCAGGAGGAACACCGAUGGCGAAGGCAGAUCUCUGGGCCGUAACUGACGCUGAGGAGCGAAAGCAUGGGGAGCAAACAGGCUUAGAUACCCUGGUAGUCCAUGCCGUAAACGUUGGGAACUAGAUGUGGGACCAUUCCACGGUCUGCCGUCGUCGUAGCUAACG
rnacentral:rRNA from 1 species